rnacentral:rRNA from 1 species
GUGGAUUAGAUACCGGGUAGUCCUAGCCCUAAACGGUGCGUGUUUUCUGUAAAAGGAAUCGACCCCUUUUGUGGCGAAGCUAACGCGUUAAACACGCCGCCUGGGGAGUACGGUCGCAAGAUUAAAACUCAAAGAAAUUGACGGGGGCCUGCACAAGCGGUGGAGUAUGUGGCUUAAUUCGAUGCAACGCGAAGAACCUUACCUGGCCUUGACAUGCAAGUGGUAGAACCAUGAAAGUGGGACGAUCCCGCAAGGGAAGCUUGCACAGGUGCUGCAUGGCUGUCGUCAACU